rnacentral:rRNA from 1 species
GUUAUAUGGUCAAGUGAAGAAGCGCAUACGGUGGAUGCCUUGGCAGUCAGAGGCGAUGAAAGACGUGGUAGCCUGCGAAAAGCUUCGGGGAGUCGGCAAACAGACUGUGAUCCGGAGGUAUCUGAAUGGGGGAACCCAGCCAUCAUAAGAUGGUUAUCUUGUACUGAAUACAUAGGUGCAAGAGGCGAACCAGGGGAACUGAAACAUCUAAGUACCCUGAGGAAAAGAAAUCAACCGAGAUUCCCUUAGUAGUGGCGAGCGAACGGGGACCAGCCCUUAAGUUGUAUUGAGAUUAGCGGAACACUCUGGAAAGGGUGGCCAUAGUGGGUGAUAGCCCUGUACGCGAAAAUCCCUUUGNGUUCUGGAAAGGACGGCCAUAGUGGGUGAUAGCCCUGUACGCGAAAAUCCCUUUGCAAUGAAAUCGAGUAGGACGGGGCACGAGAAACCUUGUCUGAAUAUGGGGGGACCAUCCUCCAAGGCUAAAUACUACUGACUGACCGAUAGUGAACCAGUACCGUGAGGGAAAGGCGAAAAGAACCGCGGAGAGCGGAGUGAAAUAGAUCCUGAAACCGUAUGCGUACAAGCAGUGGGAGCCCACUUUGUUGGGUGACUGCGUACCUUUUGUAUAAUGGGUCAGCGACUUAUUUUCAGUGGCGAGCUUAACCGAAUAGGGGAGGCGUAGCGAAAGCGAGUCUUAAUAGGGCGUCUAGUCGCUGGGAAUAGACCCGAAACCGGGCGAUCUAUCCAUGGGCAGGUUGAAGGUUGGGUAACACUAACUGGAGGACCGAACCGACUACCGUUGAAAAGUUAGCGGAUGACCUGUGGAUCGGAGUGAAAGGCUAAUCAAGCUCGGAGAUAGCUGGUUCUCCUCGAAAGCUAUUUAGGUAGCGCCUCAUGUAUCACUGUAGGGGGUAGAGCACUGUUUCGGCUAGGGGGUCAUCCCGACUUACCAAACCGAUGCAAACUCCGAAUACCUACAAGUGCCGAGCAUGGGAGACACACGGCGGGUGCUAACGUCCGUCGUGAAAAGGGAAACAACCCAGACCGUCAGCUAAGGUCCCAAAGUCAUGGUUAAGUGGGACUUUAAAGAAAGCGUAAUAGCUCACUAGUCGAGUCGGCCUGCGCGGAAGAUGUAACGGGGCUCAAACCAUGCACCGAAGCUACGGGUAUCAUCUUUUGAUGAUGCGGUAGAGGAGCGUUCUGUAAGCCUGUGAAGGUGAGUUGAGAAGCUUGCUGGAGGUAUCAGAAGUGCGAAUGCUGACAUGAGUAACGACAAUGGGUGUGAAAAACACCCACGCCGAAAGACCAAGGUUUCCUGCGCAACGUUAAUCGACGCAGGGUUAGUCGGUCCCUAAGGCGAGGCUGAAAAGCGUAGUCGAUGGAAAACAGGUUAAUAUUCCUGUACUUCUGGUUAUUGCGAUGGAGGGACGGAGAAGGCUAGGCCAGCCUGGCGUUGGUUGUCCAGGUUUAAGGUGGUAGGCUGAGAUCUUAGGUAAAUCCGGGAUCUUAAGGCCGAGAGCUGAUGACGAGUGUUCUUUAGAACACGAAGUGGUUGAUGCCAUGCUUCCAAGAAAAGCUUCUAAGCUUCAGGUAACCAGGAACCGUACCCCAAACCGACACAGGUGGUUGGGUAGAGAAUACCAAGGCGCUUGAGAGAACUCGGGUGAAGGAACUAGGCAAAAUGGCACCGUAACUUCGGGAGAAGGUGCGCCGGUGAGGGUGAAGCAUUUACUGCGUAAGCUCAUGCCGGUCGAAGAUACCAGGCCGCUGCGACUGUUUAUUAAAAACACAGCACUCUGCAAACACGAAAGUGGACGUAUAGGGUGUGACGCCUGCCCGGUGCCGGAAGGUUAAUUGAUGGGGUUAGCGCAAGCGAAGCUCUUGAUCGAAGCCCCGGUAAACGGCGGCCGUAACUAUAACGGUCCUAAGGUAGCGAAAUUCCUUGUCGGGUAAGUUCCGACCUGCACGAAUGGCGUAACGAUGGCGGCGCUGUCUCCACCCGAGACUCAGUGAAAUUGAAAUCGCUGUGAAGAUGCAGUGUAUCCGCGGCUAGACGGAAAGACCCCGUGAACCUUUACUAUAGCUUUGCACUGGACUUUGAAUUUGCUUGUGUAGGAUAGGUGGGAGGCUUUGAAGCGUGGACGCCAGUCUGCGUGGAGCCAACCUUGAAAUACCACCCUGGCAACUUUGAGGUUCUAACUCAGGUCCGUUAUCCGGAUCGAGGACAGUGUAUGGUGGGUAGUUUGACUGGGGCGGUCUCCUCCUAAAGAGUAACGGAGGAGUACGAAGGUGCGCUCAGACCGGUCGGAAAUCGGUCGUAGAGUAUAAAGGCAAAAGCGCGCUUGACUGCGAGACAGACACGUCGAGCAGGUACGAAAGUAGGUCUUAGUGAUCCGGUGGUUCUGUAUGGAAGGGCCAUCGCUCAACGGAUAAAAGGUACUCCGGGGAUAACAGGCUGAUACCGCCCAAGAGUUCAUAUCGACGGCGGUGUUUGGCACCUCGAUGUCGGCUCAUCACAUCCUGGGGCUGAAGCCGGUCCCAAGGGUAUGGCUGUUCGCCAUUUAAAGUGGUACGCGAGCUGGGUUUAGAACGUCGUGAGACAGUUCGGUCCCUAUCUGCCGUGGACGUUUGAGAUUUGAGAGGGGCUGCUCCUAGUACGAGAGGACCGGAGUGGACGAACCUCUGGUGUUCCGGUUGUCACGCCAGUGGCAUUGCCGGGUAGCUAUGUUCGGAAAAGAUAACCGCUGAAAGCAUCUAAGCGGGAAACUUGCCUCAAGAUGAGAUCUCACUGGAACCUUGAGUUCCCUAAAGGGCCGUCGAAGACUACGACGUUGAUAGGUUGGGUGUGUAAGCGCUGUGAGGCGUUGAGCUAACCAAUACUAAUUGCCCGUGAGGCUUGACCAUAUAACACCCAAGCAAUU